AGAUAAAAGACACAGGUGAGGACCUUCACAUAUUUAUAUUCCAUAGUGAUGGAUAGCCAGGAGGUGAUACUGCUGAGUGCAUGGUUUAGCCCAUAUGCUCUUAGGGUUCAAUGGGCUCUCAAGCUGAAGGGUAUCCCAUAUCAAGUUAUUGAAGAAGAUGUAUAUAGCAAGAGUCCUCUUCUUCUGAAGCACAACCCUGUGAACAGGAAAGUCCCUGUGCUUCUUCACCAAUGCAAAGCCAUUGUUGAUUCCUUAAGAAUCAUUGAGUAUAUUGAUGAGACAUGGA
rnacentral:misc_RNA from 1 species